GAUGAACGCUGGCGGCGUGCCUAAUACAUGCAGGUCGAGCGAACAGACGAGGAGCUUGCUCCUCUGACGUUAGCGGCGGACGGGUGAGUAACACGUGGAUAACCUACCUAUAAGACUGGGAUAACUUCGGGAAACCGGAGCUAAUACCGGAUAAUAUAUUGAACCGCAUGGUUCAAUAGUGAAAGACGGUUUUGCUGUCACUUAUAGAUGGAUCCGCGCCGCAUUAGCUAGUUGGUAAGGUAACGGCUUACCAAGGCAGCGAUGCGUAGCCGACCUGAGAGGGGGAUCCGCCCCACCGGAACUGAGACACGGUCCAAACUCCCUAGGGAGGCGACGGGAGGGAAAUUUCCGCAAAGGGGGGAAAGCGUCAAGAAGAACCGCGCGGUGGAGAAGAAAGGUUUUGGGUCCUAAAACCUCUUUUAUUGGGAAGAAAAAAAUUGGAAGGUACAUUGCCAGGUUUUGAGGUAACCAAAGAGAAAGCCACCGCAUAAUUAGGU
rnacentral:rRNA from 1 species